rnacentral:rRNA from 1 species
UGGACGAAAGUCUGACGGAGCAACGCCGCGUGAGCGAUGAAGGCCUUCGGGUCGUAAAGCUCUGUUGUCAGAGAAGAACAAGUACCGGAGUAACUGCCGGUACCUUGACGGUACCUGACCAGAAAGCCACGGCUAACUACGUGCCAGCAGCCGCGGUAAUACGUAGGUGGCAAGCGUUGUCCGGAAUUAUUGGGCGUAAAGCGCGCGCAGGCGGUUCCUUAAGUCUGAUGUGAAAGCCCCCGGCUCAACCGGGGAGGGUCAUUGGAAACUGGGGAACUUGAGUGCAGAAGAGGAGAGCGGAAUUCCACGUGUAGCGGUGAAAUGCGUAGAGAUGUGGAGGAACACCAGUGGCGAAGGCGGCUCUCUGGUCUGUAACUGACGCUGAGGCGCGAAAGCGUGGGGAGCGAACAGGAUUAGAUACCCUGGUAGUCCACGCCGUAAACGAUGAGUGCUAAGUGUUAGAGGGUUUCCGCCCUUUAGUGCUGCAGCAAACGCAUUAAGCACUCCGCCUGGGGAGUAC